GUCUACGGCCAUGCCACCCUGAACAUGUAUGAUCUUGUCUGAUCUUGGAAGCUAAGGAGGGUCGGGCCUGGUUAGUACUCAAAUGGGAUACCACCUAGGAAUACCAGGUGAUAGAUA
rnacentral:rRNA from 1 species